GUUUCAAUGCACUUUCGCAUCUCGGAAUGGCCUUUUCACUCGUUGGAAUAAUUCAAAGAUUCUUUACGGAGGAUGUGAGGCCAAUCUCACUCACAUUUGCUAAGCGCAACACCAAAAGUGCAUUACGGCUUCCAUGGGUGGACCGAAGAUCACCAACCCUACGUACGUCUACCGUCUAAACCUGUCGCAACCUGCGCAUCUCUCGCUCUCUUCGUAGACCCAAUCAUCAUCGGGCGACAUUCUUAUUGGAGAAUUCGCGCACACUCCAACCAGGAGCAACCAAGACCCCAAACCACGUCAAGUCCUCGGGUUGGGUCACUACACAUUCGGCGUGUCAUCAAUCUCACGAUCUAACACGUGGCAUUUCACGCUCCCGGGUCUAAGCUCGGACUACCGUCCUGACCAAAACUCUCUGCCCUACCCGUAGGUACCGGGCCGCUGCCUCUCGCAGCUGACUGCGCCUGCCCAAUGGGCCCAGGCUCCACAGUCCACAAAGGGUCCAGGCACGGGUCGUCCCCAAGCACUACCCGCCAACGUCGUCCUACACGACAUGCUCUACAGAGCUACACACUCUGACGGCUCCUAGGCACCUAGUGCGAGCCACCAGCCCUACGAGUGAUCCAAGGCCCGCUUCACACUUAGCAAAGCUAAAGUGCUACUGCCAACGCACUCAACCAGCUGAAUCGAAACCACACUUCACGAGUACUACACUCGAGCGCUCUAUGUCCCUACAGCGUCUCACACGAAGUCCAGCAUCAGGCAACUUGCCUAUGCACAUUGACUACACGAGCACAACUCGCCCACCUCAAUUCGAGGUUCUAUUAGGCCCACGUGCCCGCACUCGGCAACUAACCAAUCGCUCUACCACGGGUCUUGUUCUUGGUCUAAUGUCAGCAACCAGCCGGCACUAACCAAUCACCUACCCCAUUAACUUCGCCUCAAUAGCGAAACAACACGACUCAAUCGGGCGAAAGUCACACAAGGGCGUCUAUUCUCAUCAAUCGGUUUUAUGUUGUCGCGCGCCAACAUAAACACACUUGGCUGAGAAUACAUCACACCUUGAAUCUACCUCUAAUAUCCUUCUUAGAGGUUUACAAAACUUGACCCAAUCGAUCAACUUCCGCCACCGUAUAGGUUCACGUCGCACUCACGCACCUAUAACCUUAGGGUUCACCGUCCUAGGGUCUCCUCGGUCAGUCCUAGACUCUCUCUUUACUUGCUCUUAACUUGCUCUGAUACCACAACUGUCACGCCCCGCCCCGAGGCCGCUACCGAUUUGGCACGGUUCGGGCGCGGCAAGCGGACCGCCAGACGGACAGAGUCUCCCCUGUCCGCCCAAGGCUCAACAACCAUAUCAUGUACAAGAAUUUGCCCAGGAGGAAUUCAACAAC
rnacentral:lncRNA from 1 species